UUCUAGGUGUGUUUCAGAAUUUAAUUUUAAAUAGAAAAGUUCUCAUUAAUCUAAAAUUACUUUUAUUAAUAAACUAAUUUUGAUGAUACUCACUUGUUGUCUACGACUAGUCUCAAAAAUAUAUCUCGUACAUUACACAUGCAGAUGAAUAGGUCAAAAAUUAAAUAUAAUAUUAAAUAGAAAUAAUAGAGUUAAAUUAGAAGUAUCA
rnacentral:lncRNA from 1 species